UACGAAGGGGGCUAGCGUUGUUCGGAAUUACUGGGCGUAAAGGGCGCGUAGGCGGUGUGUCAAGUCAGGCGUGAAAGCCCCGGGCUCAACCUGGGAACCGCGCUUGAGACUGGCACGCUCGAGUUCGGGAGAGGAUGGUGGAAUUCCCAGUGUAGAGGUGAAAUUCGUAGAUAUCGGGAGGAACACCGGUGGCGAAGGCGGCGACCUGGGUCGAGACUGACGCUGAGGUGCGAAAGCGUGGGGAGCAAACAGG
rnacentral:rRNA from 1 species